AUAUCAAUAAGCGGAGGAAAAGAAACUAACAAGGAUUCCCCUAGUAACGGCGAGUGAAGCGGGAAGAGCUCAAAUUUAAAAUCUGGUUUGCUUGCAAAUCCGAGUUGUAGUCUGAAGAAACGUUUUCCAUGAAAAUCGAGGCACAAGUCCUUUGGAACAGGGCAUCAUAGAGGGUGAGAAUCCCGUCCAUGGUCUCGAAUCUUUCAUUUUGUGAUACGUUUUCUAAGAGUCAGGUUGUUUGGGAAUGCAGCCUAAAAUGGGUGGUAAAUUUCAUCUAAAGCUAAAUAUUGGCCAGAGACCGAUAGCGCACAAGUAGAGUGAUCGAAAGAUGAAAAGCACUUUGGAAAAGAGAGUUAAACAGUAC
rnacentral:rRNA from 1 species